UGGCGCAAAACGCCCCAUGGUGGGGGCAUUAUAGUGUUUAACCAUUACGCAUGGUCUAAUACUGAUAAAUUUAAACGCCCUUUUCUCUGUCCAUCGAUCUGUACAGCAAUUAAGAUGAUCGACCUUUGUCCCAGUUCUAGACCAGUUGGUUGGAGAAGGAAAAUAUGUCGAUCAACCAGAAAUAUCAAUAAGCUAAAUAAACACCUAUGAA
rnacentral:lncRNA from 1 species